UAGGCAGAGAGCUCAGAGCAUGUGGAAGAAGCUUGCAAGGAGUCAUUGACAGAGCAUCACGAGUGGUUGCUGCAGUGAGUUCUGCAUAAAAUUAUUCAGAGUUAAAGGAUGGUCCAAUAUUGAGUGGAGAGCCAGUGAGAUUCCAUCUGCUGCAGACCUUUGUGGGGAUUCGACAACUCACUCUCACAUCAAGGGGCAUUUGCGGUGGCCAAUUGACCUACUGACCCCCCAGGACUUUGAGAUGUGGAAGGAAACUAGAGCCCCUGAAGAAACCCACACAUCAUAGUGCGAACAUGCAAAGUCCACAGGCGGUCAGGACUUCCUGCUUUUAUAAUCAUCCACUUUGGAAGGAAUAAUAGAAGAGCAGAUUAUUAUUUAAAUGGUGAAAGAUUGCAGCAUGCUGAUGUGCAGAGGGAUUUGGGAGUGCUUGUGCAUGAAUCGCAAAAAGUUGGCUUGCAGGUACAACAGGUUAUUAAGAAGGCAAAUGGAAUGUUGGCCUUCAUUGCUAGAGGGAUUGAAUUCAAGAGCAGGGAGAUCAUGCUGCAGCUAUACAGGGUAUUUGUGAGGCCGCACCUGCAGUACUGUGUGCAGUUCUGGUCUCCGUACUUGAGGAAGGAUAUACUGGCUUUGGAGGCAGUGCAGAGGAGGAUCACCAGGUUGAUUCCAGGGAUGAAGGGGUUAACAUAUGAGGAGAGAUUGAGUCACCUUGGACUAUACUCUCGAGUUCAGAAGAAUGAGAAGGGAUCUUAUGGAAACAUACAAAAUUUUGAAAGGGAUAAGUAAGAUGGAAGGAGGAAAGUUGUUUCCAUUGGUAGGUGAGACUAGAA